AUUGAACGCUGGCGGCAGGCUUAACACAUGCAAGUCGAACGAGGCGCGGACGGGUGAGUAAUGUCGGGGAAACUGCCUGAUGGAGGGGGAUAACUACUGGAAACGGUGGCUAAUACCCCAUACCAUCAGAUGUGCCCAGAUGGGAUUUGCUUGUGGGUGGGGUAAGGGCUCACCUAGGCGACGAUCCCUAGCUGGUCUGCGAGGAUGACCAGCCAAAUGGGAACUGAGAGACGGUCCAGACUCCUACGGGAGGAAGCAGUGGGGAAUAUUGCAAAAUGGGCGCAAGCCUGAGGAAGCCAUGCCGCGGGUGUGAAGAAGGCCUUGGGGUUGUAAAGCACUUUCAGCGAGGAGGCGUUAAUCGCAGAAGAAGCACCGGCUAACUCCGUGCCAGCAGCCGCGGUAAUUC
rnacentral:rRNA from 1 species